GACGAACGCUGGCGGCGUGCCUAACACAUGCAAGUCGAACGGAGCACUUCGGUGCUUAGUGGCGAACGGGUGAGUAACGCGUGAGAAACCUGCCUCUCAGUGGGGGACAACAGUUGGAAACGACUGCUAAUACCGCAUAACACUUUUAGACCGCAUGGUCUUUAAGUCAAAGCUUUAUGUGCUGAGAGAUGGUCUCGCGUCUGAUUAGCUAGUUGGUGAGGUAGCGGCUCACCAAGGCGACGAUCAGUAGCCGGUCUGAGAGGAUGAACGGCCACAUUGGGACUGAGAUACGGCCCAG
rnacentral:rRNA from 1 species